CGCCUACGGGCGGCUGCAGUGAGGAAUAUUGGUCAAUGGAGGCAACUCUGAACCAGCCAAGUCGCGUGAAGGAUGAAGGUCUUAUGGAUUGUAAACUUCUUUUGCAAGGGAAUAAAGUGGGGGACGUGUCCUCCUUUGCAUGUACCUUGCGAAUAAGGAUCGGCUAACUCCGUGCCAGCAGCCGCGGUAAUACGGAGGAUCCGAGCGUUAUCCGGAUUUAUUGGGUUUAAAGGGUGCGCAGGCGGGAUGUUAAGUCGGCGGUGAAAUUUUGCAGCUCAACUGUAAAAGUGCCUUUGAUACUGGCUUUCUUGAGUGUGGAUGAAGUAGGCGGAAUUUGUGGUGUAGCGGUGAAAUGCUUAGAUAUCACGAGGAACUCCGAUUGCGCAGGCAGCUUACUAAACCACUACUGACGCUCAUGCACGAAGGCGUGGGGAUCAAACAGGAUUAGAUACCCUGGUAGUCUC
rnacentral:rRNA from 1 species